AAUCAACGCUGGCGGCGUGCCUAACACAUGCAAGUCGAACGCGAAAGGGGCUUCGGCCCUGAGUAGAGUGGCGUCCGGGUGAGUAACGCGUGGGUAAUCUACCUUCGGGUGGGGAAGUAACCAGUCGAAAGGCUGGCUAAUACCGCAUAAUGCAGCGGCACGACAUCGUGACAGUUGUUAAAGGAGCAAUCCGCCUGAAGAGGAGCCUGCGUCUGAUUAGCUUGUUGGGUAGGUAAUGGCUCACCAAGGCUACGAUCAGUAGCUGGUCUGAGA
rnacentral:rRNA from 1 species